GCCGGUCUUGAGCUCGAAGGCGAGCCGGCCGCUCUCCAGCAGCGGCAGCGCGGCCGGAUCGCUGUAGACGAGGUUCCACACCUCGGCGUCGGCG
rnacentral:tRNA from 1 species